rnacentral:tRNA from 1 species
GUGGUGGUUCAGUGGUAGAAUUCUCGCCUCCCACGUGGGAGACCCGGGUUCAAAUCCCAGCCAACACA